rnacentral:rRNA from 1 species
UACGGGGGGUGCAAGCGUUAAUCGGAAUUAUUGGGCGUAAAGGGUGCGUAGGUUGUUUGAUAAGAUAUAUGUGAAAUACCUGGGCUCAACCUGGGAAGGUCAUAUAAGACUGUCAGACUCGAGUAUGGGAGAGGGUAGAGGAAUUUCCGGUGUAGCGGUGAAAUGCGUAGAUAUCGGAAGGAACAUCGGUGGCGAAGGCGUCUACCUGGCCUAAUACUGACACUGAGGCACGAAAGCGUGGGGAGCAAACAGG